rnacentral:lncRNA from 1 species
GACUAUUUCUAAGCAUUAUGAAAUUAUGGAGUUUGAAUUACGUCACAUGAGUCAUUUCUUUAUGGGAUUUGUAUCAAUCGUCCACCUUUAGUUGACAAAAUGUAUCAGCCGACCCCCAAACCGUUAGUUGCCGUUUGAAAGUUAACGGAGUUACAGUGAAUUGACGAUUUUACCCUUGAAAAUUAUCACUUGUAUACCCUUAAAUUCUUUUUUAUCACUUGUAUACCCUUAAAUUCUUUUUUAUCACUUGUAUCAUAUGAAAAGACCAAAUUACCCUUCUGACGUCAUCAUACUUAAACAGCAACUAACAGUUUGGUGGUCAGCUGAUACAUUUUGUCAACUUAGGGUGGACGAUUGAUACACCCUCAAAGUGUUGUAGUAUUUUUGAUAAUGGAGUAAACUAAGGGUAUACAAAUGAUAUCUGAAGUUUAAAAUAGCAUAAUAAAAAAUAUAUGUUGCGAGAUGAAGCUGUUGUGCAAAGCCACCUUUUUUUAUCCUCUAUAAACCAUAUCGCUUCAUGUAAUUCAAGUUUAAAACAACUUCCAUAUAAAAGAGGAGACAUAGCAACAUCAUUAACCGGGCGCUCUGUCACAUAGGUCUUGAUAAGCUCCAGUGUUCUGGCAUCCCAAAGCUGAAAGAGCAUUUGCAGAAAAGCAAGAAAAGAUCAGGCAGUUGAAUGAAACAGUUAAACCGAGAAUAGCAGAAUACAUACAUACAUGUAAUUGCACAAUUGUAUUUUCAACAAUGAACAUGUAUUUUCACAAGUUAUUACCAACAAAAAUUUAUACCCAACCAGAAAUUUUCACCAAAUAAUUACCAACAAAAAAUUCAACGUGUAAUACAUAUACCAACCGAAAAUUUUCACCAAGUAAUUACCAACAAACAAUUUUCACCAAGUAAUUACCAACAAAAAUUUAUACCCAACCGGCAAUAUACCAAAAAAAUUUCAGAACCACCCAGCACAAAAAACCAUACCCAGAAUGCUGGUAAAUCUGCAAUUUUACAUGCAAAUCAAACCUCAACUGUCAAUAAGCCACUAUCCAGUGUGCAAAACCAGGCUCAAAGUUCUGAAAUUUUUUAUAAAGAUCAAAUUUUGAAGGCGAAUCAAACCUUAGUUGUCAAUAAGGCACCAUCCAAUUGAAGAACCAAACUCAAAGUUUGGAAAUUUCUGUUGAAGAUCAAAAUUUGAAGGCAAAUCAGAGUGCUGCACCUGCUAGCAAGAGCACUAAUUCAAGCUCAUUGGUGAAGGAUGGAGUGGCAUCGAAUGACUCGGCAUCUUUGGCGAAGAAACAGGGUAAUGAUGGGAAGAAAUAGAGAAUGGAAAUAAUGCAGGGGUAGUGGUGAAGCAGGGGAAUGAGGGUUGGAUUGAUGGAGAAUGGGUUCAUAUCUGCUUUAAAAUAUGAUUUUGAUGAGCAAUUAUAAAAAAAUAUCAAAAAUUAAUUAUCAAAAUAAAUAUCAAAAAAUUAAUUACCAACAAAGAGAGGGAAAUGGAGAGAGACGAGGGAGACGAGUAGCACCACCGAGCAGCGAGCAGCGACCACCGACUAGAUCUGGAGUAGUAGCGAGUGAGACAGAGACGAAGCUGCUGCUGGAGUGAGAGGAAAAACGGAGCGAGAUGGGGAGAGGAGUGAGAGGAAAAAAGGCACUUUUUUCUUUUCUUU